GGGGCAGCGAUAUGUCAUCAUGAAGCUGUCGCCUCAUGCGCGGUGCAAGACUGGGUCGAUCAUCGUCGUCACCUGGAGUGAUGUACGGGUGGGACACCCGUCUAAACCACACCAUGUAUUCGUCAACACACGCAGAGGGGUCCUCAGCUUCAACGGCACCAGUAAAGGCAUGGUCUACAUACCUCAACCAAUGUAGAUCAAUCGUAUGAAUAUCUGGCAUCGGAAGGCUCUCAGGCG
rnacentral:lncRNA from 1 species